UGGGGAAUUUUGGACAAUGGGCGAAAGCCUGAUCCAGCAAUGCCGCGUGUGUGAAGAAGGCCUUCGGGUUGUAAAGCACUUUUGUCCGGAAAGAAAUCCUCUGGGUUAAUACCUCGGGGGGAUGACGGUACCGGAAGAAUAAGCACCGGCUAACUACGUGCCAGCAGCCGCGGUAAUACGUAGGGUGCAAGCGUUAAUCGGAAUUACUGGGCGUAAAGCGUGCGCAGGCGGUUUUGUAAGACGGAUGUGAAAUCCCCGGGCUUAACCUGGGAACUGCAUUCGUGACUGCAAGGCUAGAGUAUGGCAGAGGGGGGUAGAAUUCCACGUGUAGCAGUGAAAUGCGUAGAGAUGUGGAGGAAUACCGAUGGCGAAGGCAGCCCCCUGGGCCAAUACUGACGCUCAUGCACGAAAGCGUGGGGAGCAAACAGGAUUAGAUACCCUGGUAGUCCACGCCCUAAACGAUGUCAACUAGUUGUUGGGGAUUCAUUUCCUUAGUAACGUAGCU
rnacentral:rRNA from 1 species